GACGAACGCUGGCGGCGCGCCUAACACAUGCAAGUCGAACGGAGUCAAGAGGAGCUUGCUUUUCUUGACUUAGUGGCGAACGGGUGAGUAACGCGUGUGUAACCUGCCUUGGAGUGGGGGACAACAGUUGGAAACGACUGCUAAUCCCGCAUAAGCCCACGGAUCCGCAUGGAUCUGCGGGAAAAGGGUUUAUUCGCUUCAGGAUGGACUCGCGUCCAAUUAGUUAGUUGGUGCGGUAACGCCCCACCAAGGCGACGAUUGGUAGCCGGACUGAGAGGUUGAACGGCCACAUUGGGACUGAGACACGGCCCAGACUCCUACGGGAGGCAGCAGUGGGGGAUAUUGCACAAUGGGGGAAACCCUGAUGCAGCGACGCCGCGUGGAGGAAGAAGGUUUUCGGAUUGUAAACUCCUGUCGUUAGGGACGAUAAUGACGGUACCUAACAAGAAAGCACCGGCUAACUACGUG
rnacentral:rRNA from 1 species